CUAUGCAUGAAAACCAAUUCUUUGUUUUAUUAACUUCUGUUUCUUCCUCACAAGCGUAAACACAAUUUUAACUGAAAAACAUUAAGCAUUCUGCAUAAAGUGAAUAGAGCCCCAACAAACUAGUGCAUAAAAAUAAAUUACAAUACAGAAACAUCUACGAAGAAUCUUUCUUCUAAAAGGAAGACUCGAAAUUUAUUUAUCGGAAAUAAGCACACUCUCUGCUUCUCAGGCCGUCAAAUGAUCUAGAGCAAGCAAUUCACCGCAGGUUAUCAUACGUAUUGGCUUCGACAAAUGCAACUUCUGAGUUGAGAGGAGUUGAGUAACUCGUCUCAUUGUAGGGCGAGAAUGCGGACUGGGAUUCAAGCAUGAAAAUGCAAUCUUCAUAAGAGAGAGUACUUCCCCUACUUCUUGAUGUGUUGGAGGCAAAAUGCGUUGGUCUAGAACAUCCACAACUGACAUUUGAUGGGGUGGUAAUGUUGAUGUUGAUGACGACGUGGACGAAGAAGGCACUGAUAAGAAUGAUGAGAAAAAAUCACCAGGAUGCUUUCCCAUGAUUGUUUCCAUAGCAACCACUCCAAAGCUAUAAACAUCGCAUAUUUCGUUCACUUCCAUGGUAUAUGCAAGUUCUACUCAGAGUAAGACCAUAGCAAUAUUGGACUAUUAGUUUGUAUAUAUAAUACCUAAACCGAAGAUAAAGAGUGAAAAAAUUGAACAAAACUAAUUUACAACUAACUUUUAACAAAAACUAGAUGAUAAUAGAGCUGGCAAAGUGGACGCUGUUAAUCCGACUCAAUUUGCCCGCAACAUUUUAAUUAAUGGGGAAAGACUUAACAAGCUCAGUUCAAAUUACAAUUGGGUUAGUGGACUAUUAGCUUAAUUUGGGUAGUGAAGGUUUCGUUUUGGAUUAAUUUCGAUUUUCAACUAUAGUUGAAUAUUGGGUUUUAGGGAUUUCUUAUUAGUGUGGUGAUUUUUCUUCAAAAUUUGAGAAUUUUACUUAUUAGUUUGGUGGUUUUAGGGAUUUCUUAUUAGUGCGGACUAUUAGCUUGCUAAAAGUUGCUCAUAGAUGCAUCAGAAUAAAAAUUUCAUAUUGCCUUUCAACUUCAUGUAGAAGUAGAAAUACUGUGAAGGAGUUGAAGAACGUUGGUGAUACCUUGUCAUCAUUCAAAUCCAAUGAAUCAGACCUUGGGUCAAACUAAACUUUUGAGGUAAAAUUAAUGUUUAUUGUUGGUGUUUUUGUACUUUUUGUAUGCAUCUAUAGUGUAUGUUGGUAUAUGAUCGGAGGAAUACAAGACAUGGGCUCUCUUCGAUAUGUUUAUUCUUGAUAUUCGAUAAACGUUACAAAAAGGGCUUAAUUUUAAGUACAAAAUUUGAAUUACGUAAAUAUCUUGAUGAAGAAAGAUUUGAGAGAAAACAAGAGUUGGAUAUUCUUUCUCGGUGGAAAAUAGAACAAUUUCAUUAUCCUGUCUUUCUCGUUUGUCUUGUCAUGUAUUAACAGUUCUAGUUUCUAUUGUCACCUCAGAAUCAGUAUUUAGUAUUGGUGCUAGAGCGAUUGAUCAAUAUCGUAGUUGUUUAUUGCCUUAAACCGUUCAAGCAUUGUUAUGUAUUAGAGAUUGUCUUUUUGGCAAAAGAGGUAAAUCUUACGUGGUAUUUGUAUUCUUACUGCAGUUUCCAUGUUUGUUACAUGUUGUUUUAAUUAGUUAGUUUUUAGUAAUUCAUUAACAUCUCGAUUGGUAUUACUUAUUAAAUUAGAUGUUACUAUAGUUUGCAUGUUUAUAAUUGGUUUUUUUUUCCCAGAUUUUUUUUUAUGUUUUAGCUUUAAGGAAAAAUGGUGCUAACUUGGAAGAACAUACAAUAAACCCAAGUAUCGCUUAUACUUUAUGUGAAUGUUCUUUUCAAAAUCAAAGCAUGUAACAUGGUAUGUUUAGUCCAUCCUAACGUUGAAAAGAAAUAAAUUUCGCCAAAAAAUUAAUCAUAAACAACACUCAAUUAAUAAGGCUAAAAGGAAGAAAACAUAUUACCUGGUGCGAUAUACCCAAAUGUGCCUGCAACGGCAGUCCAAGUUGUUGAUCCAGGAUUCAAAAACUUAGCAGUGCCAAAGUCAGAAACAGAGGCCUCAUAUUUGGAAUCCAACAAAAUAUUCUUGGUUGAUAUGUCCCGGUGCACAAUUGGUGGCAAGCAAUCAUGGUGCAUAUAUGCCAAGGCAUGAGCCACACCGUUAACAAUAUUAACCCUUUUUCUCCACCCUACUUCUUUAGCUUCUUCAUCUUUGCUCAAAAUUGCAGCCAAGCUACCUCUUUCAACAAACUCGUACACCAAGAACGAGUGAUGAUGGUGUGAACAGAAACCAUAAAGCUUCACAAUAUUCCGGUGUCUUAUCUCUGUUAGUGCCCUUAUUUCAUUCAAGAAUGCCGUCUCCAAAUUCUUCUCACCAUCCCACAAUUGAUGUAGUUUUUUCACAGCCACUAUGUUGUCACUUGACAAAUUUGCUUUGUAGACGCUUCCUUGUCCUCCGCUCCCGAUGCAAUAUGUGGAAUCAAAAUUUUCUGUCACCCUUAUGAUUUCCUCAUACAUUGACUUUCCAUCAAAAUUUAAACCGAAAACGAUAUUUCUUCAUGCAAGUUUUUUUCUUCUGUUUCUGGACGUUUCUUCUUUCUUUGCACUAUGAAUUUAAUUGUAAAGAAAGCAGAAAGAAGUAAAAUUGCUGCUAUAAGGGAGAAUGUGAUUCCAAGUACCCAUUUGUGGUCCUUUCUUGGGCCAAUUGUGCAAGAUUGCAAACCUUCAAUGUUGCCGCACAGUCCUUUGUUCCCUUGUAAAGCUUCUGGCAGAGCUUGUCGAAAUGCUUUGUUGUUGGGAAGGGGACCUUCGAAUUCAUUGUAAGAUACAUCCACAUACGACAAUCCAUGCAUGCCUUCAAAACUUGAUGGUAUGAAACCAGAAAGAUUGUUGUGAGAAAGAUUGAGUGUCUGUAGACUCUCCAUAUUGUUGAUUUCAGCGGGUAUGCUACCUUCCAGUGAGUUGUGACUUAAAUCAAGUUCGUUCAACUGAACUAACUUUUCCAACUUCAAUGGAAUUCCUUGGGAAAAUUGAUUGUUGCUCAAAUUCAGAUGGAACAGUUUGAGAAAGUUGCCGAAUGUGCUCGGAAUUGACCCAUUUAUUUUGUUUGAUGACAAGUCGAGAUAUUCAAGAUCAACAAGUAAUCCAAAUUUCGAAGGUAUACAACCUGAAAGUUGAUUUCCAUUCAGCAUCAACCUCUGCAAAGAAGUCAUUCUCCCGAACCCGUUCGGAAUAGCCCCAACUAAGUGAUUUGAAGAGAGGUCGAGUUUAUGAAUUUUGCCAGCAUUGACAAUCUCGGGAGGUAUGUUACCAGUAAGGUUGUUUCCCGCAAUUAGUAAGGUUUCUAAUUUUGAGCAUUGUCCCCAUUUUUGUGAAAUUUCACCAUAAAACUUAUUGUGACUCAUAUCAAUGAAAUCAAGAUUUGGAUAAACACCAAAGUCUUUUGAUAUAUUGCCUGUGAAUUGGUUCCCUUCAAGACGAACUCUAACUAAGCUCUUGCAUGUUUUCAAGCUUUUGGGGAUUGGACCUGUCAAAUGGUUGUUGAACACUGAAAAGUAUUGAAGUUGUCCACUACAGCAAAUAUUUUGGGGCAAAUAACCUAUUAAUUGGUUACUUGGCAAUUGCAGUGUAGCCAACUUUUUCAAAUUCCCUAUCUCUUUAGGAAUAGUGCCAGAAAGAUUAUUACUACGGAGAUAGAGAGUGGUAAGGUUUGUGAGCUGGCCUAGGGAUGUUGGGAUUGAACCGUUGAGCUGGUUAUGAGACAAUUCUAGGUCCACAAGAGAUUUCAAUUUCCCUAUCUCUUUAGGAAUAGUGCCAGAAAGAUUAUUACUAUGGAGAUAGAGAGUGGUAAGGUUUGUGAGCUGGCCUAGGGAUGUUGGGAUUGAACCGUUGAGCUGGUUAUGAGACAAUUCUAGGUCCACAAGAGAUUUCAAUUUCCCUAUCUCUUUCGGAAUUGUGCCAGAAAGAUUAUUACGGUUGAGAUAGAGAAAUGUAAUUUUUGUGAGAUCACCGAGGGAUGUUGGGAUUGAACCACUUAGCCAAUUGUUAAAAAGAUCAAGAUAGAUGAGUUUGGAGAGGGAACUGAUCUGAGCUGGAAUGACAUCAAAGAGAUUAUUGUAGCUGAGAUCGAGGUAUUGAAGAUUGGGGAAAGACAAGAAGGAAAACUCAUGUAGUGUACCUUGUAUCCCGAAAUUGGUAAGGUUUAUCACACUGACACUUCCAACAGCAUUGCAUGAAAUACCAGUCCAGAAGCAUGGGGCUGCUUUUGUAUGAGCGGGUAGGUAAGCCCACGAGGUGAGAUUUUGCGGGCGGGUAUGGUUUUGAAAGGUGGCUUUCCAUUUGAGAAGUGCUUCCGCUUCAGUAGUAGAAGUAGCAGAAGCAAAAGCAGGGCAACUUGGCGGUGAAAGAAGUUGUAUGAAUAAGACAAGGCAAUAAGCCAAAAGCCAUUGUUUAUGAAAAUCUAAAGAUGUCAUGGCUACUAGUGUUUAAUUUCGUGUACAUAUUAGACUCUACUCCUAUGGCUUAUUUAUAAUGGCAUCCAUGAGCUAUUGUAAUUAAUUCAAUUCAACCUGCACCGAAAAGGGGGUGGGAGAGAAGAAAGAUAGAGGACUUGAAUGUUUUGUACGUACAAGAUUGUCUUUGUCCCAAAUGCGUGUAAUUGUAUGGGGCCCACCCCUCUCUUUCUAACGGUUGUUCCUAUAAUAUGUGUAAUUGUCAAUCUUUUUUCUCAAAUAUCAUUAUCUCAGCCCUGCCCCCUUGUUCACAUCUCAUUUAUUUCUAUUUUUUUUUCUUCUCAUUAAAGUUAUUCCGUUAGGUGUCAUAAGUUCAAACUUAUCAAAUAAAAGAAAAUUUGGGAAAUGCUAGUGGACUUUGUGUUUUAUCUCUUUGGGGCAAUCAUCUAAAGAUUAUUAAGAAUCAGUUGUAACACGUAAUGUGUAGUGAUAUUUAUCUUUUUAUUUAUAAAUAAAAGGUAUUGUGUUCAACUUUUAUGAGCAUUAAUAAUUUUGAAAACUUAAUUAUAGUUAGUUUGGGGUUGCUUAAAUUUGUUAAAACAGCUUUCUUUAAAAAGUUGGGUCCUUAAUUGUGUUUGGUAAAUAAAAAAAAAAAUUUUGUUUUUUUUUUCUUUCCAAAUCAUAGGUCUAAAUCAGCUAAAAACAUAAGCAACUCUAUACAUGCUUCUCAAAAAAGAGUAUUUUUUUUUCCAAAUGACGCAGGUGAACAAUACCAAUUAAUGAAACUUUCAUAUUGACAAUCCUACCCCAUCUUCUUUUUUUUUCUUUUCUUUUUCUUUCUAAAAGCACUUUUAGCACUAUAAUUUACUAUUACACUUACCUGCUUUUUUCACCGCUAUUUAUUCUCACAAUACAGUAGAAGCAAUUUUAAAAACAAGAAAUACAACAACCCCAGACUAGCCCCAAAUCUACCUCCGUGAUUGUGUUGUAUAAAAAAAAUUUAAGUUUUAACUCAAAAAUAACUUUUAUCCUCCAAUAGUUUUGGCUAAAAAUUUUAGGCCGAGAUUAUUAAAUAAUGAUUUUAGCUUAAUUUUUUUUAAAGUAAAAUUUAAGUAAAUUAUUGUAAACACAGAAAAUUCCUGAAACGAAAGAGACAAGAACAACGUGCACAAACAAAUAUUUGUAUUUGAUGAUUUCGAGUUACAAUCUCUCUCAAAUUUGAUCAUCUGAUUCGAUCUCCGUAAGGUGUUGAUUUGUGGAUGUUUCGUUGAUCCAAAGGGCCGUUGGGCUUGAUCUAAGGAUGAACGUUCUUCAAGGGCCGUGGGCUUGAUUUUGAAGGUGGAUUUGAGCGAAUAUUCAAGGAGCCGUUGGGGCUUGAUCUUGAGGAUGAGUGUUUCUUCAAGGGCCGUUGAGGCUUGAUCUUGAAGAACAGUGAUGAACGGAUGAUUGAUCUUGAAGAACAGUGAUGAACGGAUCUUCAAUUUUGAAGAACGGUUGAGCGGAUCUUCAAGGACUUUUGGACUUGAUCUUGAAGAACAGUUGUUUGUAUGGAUUUGUCGACGUUUGUUAAUCCAAAUGGCCGUUGGGGCUUGAUCUUAGGAUGAACGAAUGAUGAACGAUGAUGCUUUCUUCAAGGGCCGUCGGGGCUUGAUCUUGAAAGAAUGAUGAACGAAGAACGAAGAACACUUUCUUCAAGGGCCGUCGGGGCUUGAUCUUGAAUUAGUGGAUGAUUGUUGAUCCAAAGGGGCGUUGGGGCUUGAUCUUGAGUUGGUGAUUGUUGAUCCAAGGGCCGUCGGGGCUUGAUCUUGGAAGAACGAUGAACGAGAAACGAAGAACACUUUCUUCAAGGGCCGUCGGGGCUUGAUCUUGAGUUAGUGAUUGUUGAUCCAAGGGCCGUCGGGGCUUGAUCUUGGAAGAACGAUGAACAAGGAACGAAGAACGAAGAAGGCUUUCUUGAUUCUUCGGGAACCUGGAUGCUUGAGAGCUUCGGAGUUUCAGAGCUUCAGAGCUUCAAGGUGUAAUAUGAAUUGGUUCCUUGAAAUGAAUGAAUUAGCCUUCUAUUUAUAGAAAUUUCCAAUGCCUAAUUUUGAAUAUAAUAUCCCAGAUGAAAUAAGUCGUUUCUGCCAGGUGUUGACACGUGUCCUAUUUGAUGACUUUUCCAACUCAUUUCAAUUUUCGUUGAGUCACACGCUACGUGUAAAAUUUAUGUAAUACAUGAGCGUUGACACUUUGAUUUAUCGGUCAACAUUUAUUUACCGAAAUUUCGAUGUCUACAAAUGCCCCCCACUUCAAGGCACGUCGUAUACAUGUGCUUGUCACGUGUAGGAGAUGCAUUUUGAAGUCCCUUAUUGUAGAUGUCGAUCCAAUGGCCAUUCGAGGCUUGAUCUUGAAUUGAGCUGGAGAUUUCUUCAAAGGCCGUUGAGGCUUGAUCUUGAAUUGGGCUUGAGAUUUCUUCAAGGGCCAUUUGAGGCUUGAUCUUAAAUUGGGCUUGAGAUUUCUUCAAGGGCCGUUGAGGCUUGUUCUUGAAUUUUUGUUUGAAAUUUCUUCAAGGGCCGUUGAGGCUUGUUCUUGAACUUUUGUUUGAAAUUUCUUCAAGGGCCGUCGAGGCUUGAUCUUGAAGGUUGAAAUUGGACCACAAGGAGCUUCAUGUGGUAGAUGAUCCUUGGCUUUGGUAGUGGAUGAAUCGGCACGUAUUUUGUUGCACUUGUUGACUUUCCACAGCUUAUUCUUGAACUGGUUUUGAUUCAAGGGUGAUAGACACUUGAUCUUGAAUCGGACUUGUGAUUUCCUCAAGGGCCGUCGAGGCUUGAUUUUGAAUUUGGCUGGAAACUUCUUCAAGGGCCGUUGAGGCUUGAUUCUUGAAGGUUGACUCGAACACAUGGCAAACGGGCACGAGGUGAAGGUGACGACUUGUUGCUUUGUUCAAUCUUUCUAAUUCACACCUGAGCAGUUUGGUCAACGGUAUGAUCUUCAAGAUUGAUUCUUCCAGUUGGUGACUUGAUCGUUAAGUAUUUGAUUCAAGGGUGGUGAAUCGGCACGUGCAGCCCACAACGCCUAGUAAGUCGACCCAAGAAUUUGAGGGUCAAAACGAGUUCACCGUCCAGAGUUAUUACAACCCUGAUGAUAUGAGAUACUUUUGAUUUUGAAGAAGUAGCGGAUGACUCAGCACGUGCUUUGUUGCACUUGUCUCCACAUGCUUCAAGGUAUCACUUUCAUUUCCUUUAUCUGUUCCUCAGGCAGAUGCGACAUCUUCUCGAGUUCUUCAUCUCAGACUCUUUCUGCUGAGUUGACUGUGCAUGCUGCAUUCUUCUCUGCUUGUUUCUUCAGGCAGAUGUGGCAGCUUCUCGAGUUCCUCAGUUCGAACUCCUUCUGCUGAGUUGACUGUGCAGACCGCAUUCUUUUCUGCUUGUUCCUUCUGCACCUUGUCUCCACAUGCUGCAAGGUAUCAUUUUCACUUGCCUUAUCUGUUCUCCAGGCAGAUGUGGCAGCUUUUUUGAAAGUACAGCAGCAGUGGAAGACGAGUACUCGAGAGCAGUGCUAGGUAGGCAAUCAGGGAAGGGUUCCAAGCAGUCGGUUCCUUACCCGAGUUUGAGUGGAGGUUCCGGCAUAUUGCUUUCUUUAUCCUUGUCUUUGCAGGUAAGAACAAGAACAAAGGAAAGGACAGGGAGAACGCAUGAUAUGAGAUACUCUUGCUUUCUACCCUGGUGAUAUGAGAUACUUUUGAUUUGGUGUCAUUUGUUUGCAGAGGUACCCCAAGGAAUAAGGAACACUGAGUGACUCGAGAGGCUUCGUGGGGAAGGCAUUCUCGGAGAUGAAGAAAGGUUCUGUCUGUUUGCCUUGCUAUGGAGGGUGAAGGUAGACAGUUAUAUGAAGUUUUUUUAAUACAUGUAGAGGUACUAUUCUUUCAUUCGUGUCGGCAACCAUUGAGUGAUUGAUCAGUAUGGCUUCACGUGCUUUUUUCUUUAUCAGAAAUCUUCGACAAAUGUCCGUAAUUUCCGCCAAGCUGAGUGUGCAUAUGACAGGUGUUGACGAGGUUGAAAAAGACUGGCGCUUCUUCGAUAUCUGGGAUCGGCGCUUCGACAAAUUGCCCGUGAUUUUCGCAAAGCUGAGUUUGCGUGUGAUGGGUGCUGACAAGUCUGGAAAGGAAAAUCGCCCGUGGUUUCUGAGCAAGCCUAGCUUUUGAGAAAGCUAGCACCUCUUCAGCUUUUUUGAAUUGGCCUCUUCGAAUUCUGAGCUCGCCUCUUCGAUCUCUGAAAUCCCGUCGAGUGCUGAUUUUUUUAUAGAGGCACACAGUUCGUUUCAAAGCACACUUGAAUUUUUGCUUGUAGAAACUCCCUUCUUGCACUUCUAAGAUCUUGAUUUGUCCGGUCUCUUCUUUCUUUCAACAUUUUUGAAAAAAUGUCUGGCCCCUCCGACCGUCGUCUUGACUUGAACCUUGGUGAAGAGGUAGUCCCUUCUUCUCUAGACAACAUAUGGCGCCCAUCCUUCAUAUCCCCUACUGGUCAUCUUACCGUUGGGGAUUCAGUGGUGAAGAAUGAUAUGACCGCUGCGGUGGUGGCCCGAAACCUUGUCACUCCCAGAGAUAACAGACUACUUUCCAAAUGGUCUGAUGAGUUGGCUGUUAAGGAUUCUCUGGCUCUCAGUGUGCAGUGUGCAGGUUCUGUGUCUAAUAUGGCCCAACGCCUAUUUGCUCAAACCCGUCAAGUUGAAUCAUUGGCGGCUGAAGUGAUGAGUCUCAAACAGGAGAUUAUAGGGCUCAAGCAGGAGAAUAAACAGUUGCAUAAGCUCGCACAUAGCUAUGCGACAAACAUGAAGAGGAAGAUUGAUCAGAUGCAGGAAUCUGAUGGUCAGAUUUUACUUGAUCAUCAGAGGUUUGUGGGUUUGUUCCAGCAGCAUUUGCCUUCGUCUUCUGGGGCUGUACCGCGUAAUGAAGCUCCAAAUGAUCAACCUCCGGCUCCUCUUCUUCCUGGAGUUCCGCUGAGUGAUGAUGCUCUGAAUAAUCACCCUCUGGUGCCUCUCCGAUCUGGGGCUUCGCCGAGUACUGAGGCGCCACCUAAUCAAUGAAGGCUUUUGUUUGUUUGCACCUUUUUUUUUUUUUUUUUGGGUAUGUAAAUGUUCCCUUUGUAAUUUUCCAGAGAAAUCAAUGAAAUGGACUUUAUUUCUCUUUAUUAUUAUUUUUUUUUCUUUUUAGAUGGUGCAAUCCACACCAUCCCCCUCUUUUUAUUUUUUAUUUUUUUAUUUUUUUAUUAUUUAUUUAUUUUAUUAUAUAUAUAUAUAUAUAUUUUAUAUAUAAUUUUUUAUUAUAUUUUUCUUUUCUUUUCAGAUGGUGCAAUCCGCACCAUCCCCUCCUUUUUUUAUUUAUAUUUAUUUAUUAUUUAUUUUAUUUUAUUUUAUCUGCUUUCGGUGAUGCUCACCCCACCACCACUAACUAGAUGAUGGCCACCAUAAUCAUAUUGCACCAUGAUCCUUUUUUUUUUCCUUUUUUUUUUAUAUAUAUACGGUGCUUUGCAAGGCUGGAUUUGUGGGUGAAAACCCAGGCCGAGCCCGAAAGAAGACGAAGGAGGAGAAUGAGAGGGCGUCGAGCAUCCGUGAAGCUGCUAGUUGCUUGGUGCCAUGGUGGAGAAGCUGCUAGUUGCUUGGUGCCAUGGUGGAGAGUCGGUGACGACGGCGUUGCGGAGAGGGCUAAGCACCGAGAAAGAUAAAGCUCUCACGAGAGUGCCUCACAGAUUUCACAGCUAGAGAGAGGGAGUCAGCCAGCUCCAACCUCCUUGCCCAAUUGCAGUACUGCCUCUUGAUUGUACACUCGUAGUCGGAGAUCGAAGAAUCCCAUGAUGGAGGGCAGAAACGGGUGCAGACGGGAUGAGGAUGUGCAGGUACCUUGGAUUUGUGCUGAUGAGAGAUGAUGAAUGUCAGGUGAGGGUGCUGGAGCGUAAACUGGAGAAGCAAGAUACGGAGAAAUUGAUGGCUCUAGAGUUGGAGCUGGAGAAACAGUUGGUGGGGUUGCAGAGAGUGUACCUUUCAGAUAAGAAGAUAAACUGAUACUUUUAACUUUACCAAACACUGAGUUAUCCAGGCCAAGAUUUUUUUGUGGGAGAACCCGUGAUUAUUUGAGCCAACUGCCUUAAUCUCUGGGGCCCAAAGCCUCCAAACUCAGACAUUAGGGAAACUUGAACCACAACUGGGGCUGCUGUUUUCUUGUCUGAGCAGAAGUUUCCAGAGAUGCCAACAACUUCCAUGUCUGGGAAUUCAUUUUGAAGGAAUUCGAUAACAUAUUGAACGCCUUUGGAGAUCAUGUUCAUUCCCAUGGCAUCUCCGGUGCUGCAUGAAAAUCUUAGGUACAGAUUUUUGCCUGCUAUCGCGCAUCGAAUCUUUUCGAGCUUUGCAAAUCUGCUAGACCUGUUGAAAACGACGGCGAGAGCAUCAAAAUUGAGAGGAUUCUCGACGAAGAACUUGAGCUGAGCAGCCCUAACGACGGAGCGGAACCUCACAAUUAGAGCUCUGGUCAUGGAGUCGUUGAAGAGGACACUCUCGGCACCGCCUGAGGCGUAGAUUGCCUUGAAUCCCCUAUUGGUGCUGGCCACCAGGCACCCCUCCGUUGUCACCAUUGGCACCAUGUACUCUUCUCCAUCGAGCAACAGCGGUCCAGCGACUCCCACCGGGAUCUGCACAUACCCCACCGGAUUUUCACAGCACUGUCCCAGUAUCGACUGAUAAUCGAAGCCCUCCAGCGGCAGGCCCUCCAGCGAACGACCCGUCGUUUUCUGCAACGCCUUGCGCCGGAUCACCGCGGCUCGUUUGCAGUCCUCGAGCUUCGAUUCGAGCUCGUAAGACGCUGUCGUUCCGGACAACACCGACUCGACGAUCUCCUCGUCUUCUUUAGAGAUUAGCUGCUCGUCUUUCUUCUGCUGAGGCGGACGCGGCGGCGGUGAUUCGAGAACCUCGUGCUCGUGCCAGUCGUCGUGCGGGGUACGGGGAGCAACGAAGGACUGGACGAAGUCUAUACCGAAGAAGCCGAUGAGGUAGAUAACGGAAGCGAAGAGAGAGAAGAUGGCGGCGAUCUCCGAGAGCGUGACUACGUGAAGCGGCGUGGACGUGCGGAUCUUCUCGCGCCACCGAUUCAGGAGGAAGUAGGCAACGGUGAAGAAGAGAGUGACGAAGAGGCCAUUGGUGAGGUAAAGAGGCAGAGGAAGCACGUCGGAAGCCUUGGGGUAGGAAUUUGGGUCCACGACGAAGAUGGUUUGGUUAGGGCAGCAGGUGCAUCGUCGUCGUCGUCGAUGUUGGUGUCGGAAUUGCUCCCGUUCUGGUAAUCUGUGACUUGGAUGACGUCAGGCGGAGCUGUGGCGUUCAUCGUCGUCGUUCCACCUUCCAUCGGUGAAGAGAACCAAAAAAUAUGAUAAGAGUGAGAGUGUUUGGGGAAGAAGACAAGCUGGAGUUUGGGCCCGUUAUGGCUUGAGCCCUUUUGUUGCUGGGCCGAGACACUAAUGAGGAUGGGUUGCUGACGAGGGCCCGGCUUUUGAGUUAUGUAUAUGCAUAUACACACACACAUAUAUAAAAUACUUGUAUAUAUAUAUAUUUGUAAUAAAAUUGACUCUAUUUAAUAAAAACACUUAUUUUUUUAUUUUUUAUUUUUAUUUAUUUUUAUUUUGAUGUGACUGAACUUGAAAUUGAAUAUUCAAGCUGCCUAUGUAUCCUUCCAAAGAAAGAGAUCAAGUCAAAACGUAGUUCAAAUGAGUGAUGAAUUUAACGGUGAUUUUGAUGAUGAUUUUACCAUACACAGUUUAUGCUCUUGUGGGCCAAGAGCUUUGGUGUUGCCUUUUAUGCUCGUGCAGACCAGGAGCUUAGUGCUGUGUUGCAGUUUCAGCUCGUGCAGGCAAAGAGCGUUGGUGUUGCCUUUUAUGCUCGUGCAGACCAGGAGCUUAGUGCCAUGCAGUUUAGGCUCGUGCAGGCGAGGAGCCUCGUGUCCUACAGUUUAGGCUCGUGCGGACAAGGAGCUUUGGUUCGUGCAGUUUAGGCUCGUGCGAACAAGAAGCAUUGGUUCGUCAAGCGAUCUGAGAGAGUCGUUCCUCGCAAUCUUUAUAGCAAGGAGCCUUGACUGAGUAGUUGAAGAAGUUUUCUGGGAAGAUGUCACUCAUCGUGAUGGGGAUGGAUGAUCUUCGUGUCAAAGUUUCAUUAUCUCCAACACUUUCACAUUGUUCUGGAGGUGAACAUGAGCUGUUUUGCCCCCUUUCCCAUUGGUGAGCUUGUGGAGAAGACAUAUGCUUCUUGUGCAAUUUCUUCGGAGUGACAUAAGUCCAUCCUUCAACUUCACUCGGCUUGACUGGCAUGUUUUUUGAGCAUGCCCCCAGCGAUUGAGGUGAAGAUUUUGAGUUGACAGAGCCGGAAGUGACGUCUUCUUCCAGGAUUUCGUCUUCUUUGUCUUCUUGGGCCUCCUCUUUAGUGCGGUCCUCUUGGGUUUGUUGCCGUGAAGGUUGGCCAGUGUAGAUGAUGGUGCGCCUCCUUACCUUCAGUGGUCCUUUUGUGUCGACUUCCAAAGUUGCUUGGCGCUUCAUUCUUGAAGGAAUCAAGCUUUGAAUAUCGUCUUUUCUUGCUAGACUGUCGAGCUUUUCUCCCUUUGGCGUUGUCUUCCUGUUUAUAGAAGGCUUCUUAGUUUCUUCAAGUUUGUCCAAAGCCGACCGUUGUGGAGGAAAUCUAGCUGUUUCGCUUUGUUUCUUGGGUUUUGAUAACCUUUCAAAGACAGAUCUUUGCGGUGUUGGCGUCUCAAGCCUUUUGAAGACGGAAGUUUGGUCUCGACCACUGAUGCCAUCAAGUGCCGAAAUUCUAGGUUUUGAAUAAUUCAGCCUUUCGAAGACUGAAGUUCGAGGGGUGGGUUUAGGCUCCUCUUUUGGCCUUGUGGCUUGUGGUCUUGGCUUCCUCGUUUUUUUGUAGGUCGCCGAUGUCCACCCUUUCUUAUCACCAGUAGCUGCAUCUUGGUUGCUUGCCCCCGGUGAUGGUUGUGUAGGAGGUGUCUUGUGACUUGAACAUUGACGGGAAUGGUCAUGCAUGCUUCGGAGAGGCACAUGAUCAAGUGAUCCAAACACAAUAGUAGUAGUGUGUGCCGCAACCGUGUCUUUGAGGUCAAGCUCGAUUUUCCCUUGUUGUGCUAGCUUCAGGAUGAGAUCUUACAGUACGAAGCACUUUUCCGUUGGAUGGCUGAUGAAGCGGUGGAAUUUACAGUAUCUUGGACUGUCGGUACGAUUUAUCUCUUCCGGCCGUCUGCACUCAGGCAAAUCGAUCACCUUCUUGUCCAACAGGUCAUCCAGCAUGGCAACCACAUCAGAGUCGAGGAAUGGAUAAGUCUUCUCCUCAAGCUCCUUCAAAGUGCGUCUACGCAUCUCUUGAUCACGAAAAGCUUCGGUUUGAAUCGCCUUGCCUCGUGUGGAGAUUUUGAUGGGAGCUGUGUUGACCGUCAUCGCUUCCUUGGUGGGUUUCCAUGCAGCCUUUUCCACCUUUGUCCCAAGAACUUUGUCGUUCUUGUAGUCGGCGAUCGGUUCUUUCUUCCCAUGAUGGGCGAUGCUCAACUCCAUGUCAUGGGCGCGAGUGGCCAAUUCCUCGAAUGUCCGUGGUUUAAUGCCUUGAAGGAUGUAUUGCAAACCCCAUUGCAUGCCUUGGAUGCACAUCUCAAUUGAAGAGGUUUCCGAGAGUCUGUCUUUACAGUCGAGGCUUAGAGUGCGCCAUCUAUUGAUGUAGUCAAUGACUGGCUCGUCCUUCCACUGCUUUGUGCUCGUUAGCUCUAGCAUGUUCACAGUGCGGCGGGUACUAUAGAAGCGGUUGAGGAAUUCCCGCUCUAAUUGCUCCCAGCUGUUUAUGGACUCAGGCUCUAGGUCUGUGUACCACUCAAAGGCGUUUCCUUUCAGCGAGCGUAUAAACUGCUUGGCGAGGUAAUCCCAUUCGGUCCCUGUGUUGUUGCAAGUUUCAACAAAGUGGGCAAUGUGCUGUUUCGGGUUUCCCUUUCCAUCAAAUUGCAUGAACUUUGGCGGUUGAUAACCCUUCGGCAUCCUUAAGGCGUCGAUGUUCUUUGAAUACGGCUUUAAGUACAACCCGGAGGUAUUUGAGCUCCCUUCGUACUGUGCCUUGAUGGUGUUGGUGAUCAUUUCUUGCAGCUGCUGGAUAGAAAGAGAUCCCAUGAGUGCCGCUACUUGGUCUGGCUCCGGCUUCACAUCGAUUCUCUCCACCGUAGGCUCAUCUUCUGGGUUAGGGUUCUCGCCGUCCUGUGGCUCCAGUCGGCUAACGAGUGCAGCGAUUUACAAGUCUUUUUCUUCCACAAUUUGUGUUAGCCUUGCAAUCGCUUCAUUCAUUUGAGCCAGUUGUUCUUCAAUGGAGGUAACGCCGAUAGUCAUGACUUGUGCGACCAAUAGAUGUGACUUUCCUUUAGACAUCCAGGAUGCUGAUGAAGAACGUCGUUGGCUGCUUUGGGAUGUCAUCUUGUGUGCCUCAGCAUCAUGCUUCGGUGCCCCCAGCGUGGUCAAGUUGAUGACAGACUCACACCUUGGAUGCUCCCCUUGCUCUUUUAGCAGCACCAAUUUUGAAGUGGCAUGUUGAGGAGCGGUUGUGGCGCCAAUGGAUUAUCCGUUUACGGCAGAAGUGCUUAGGAUCCUUCCCUCAGUGGUUGCAAGAACGGCUUGUCCUUUGCUUGAUGCCAUUGACUUUGAGGUGUGCUUGGAUUCCUUGAACGGAGAAAGAGAUGAGAGGUAGAGAUUGUCCCACCGGGCGUGCCAAUUUGUAAACACAGAAAAUUCCUGAAACGAAAGAGACAAGAACAACGUGCACAAACAAAUAUUUGUAUUUGAUGAUUUCGGGUUACAAUCUCUCUCAAAUUUGAUCCUCUGAUUCGAUCUCCGUAAGGUGUUGAUUUAUGGAUGUUUCGUUGAUCCAAAGGGCCGUUGGGCUUGAUCUAAGGAUGAACAUUUUUCAAGGGCCGUGGGCUUGAUUUUGAAGGUGGAUUUGAGCGAAUCUUCAAGGAGCCAUUGGGGCUUGAUCUUGAGGAUGAGUGUUUCUUCAAGGGCCGUUGAGGCUUGAUCUUGAAGAACAGUGAUGAACGGAUGAUUGAUCUUGAAGAACAGUGAUGAACGGAUCUUCAAUUUUGAAGAACGGUUGAGCGGAUCUUCAAGGGCUUUUGGACUUGAUCUUGAAGAACAGUUGUUUGUAUGGAUUUGUCGACGUUUGUUGAUCCAAAGGGCCGUUGGGGCUUGAUCUUAGGAUGAACGGAUGAUGAACCAUGAUGCUUUCUUCAAGGGCCGUCGGGGCUUGAUCUUGAAAGAAUGAAGAACGAAGAACACUUUCUUCAACGGUCGUCGGGGCUUGAUCUUGAAAGAACGAUGAACGAAGAGCACUUUCUUCAAGGGCUGUCGGGGCUUGAUCUUGAAUUGGUGGAUGAUUGUUGAUCCAAAGGGCCGUUGGGGCUUGAUCUUGAGUUGGUGAUUGUUGAUCCAAGGGCCGUCGGGGCUUGAUCUUGGAAGAACGAUGAAUGAGAAACGAAGAACACUUUCUUCAAGGGCCGUCGGGGCUUGAUCUUGAGUUAGUGAUUGUUGAUCCAAGGGCCGUUGGGGCUUGAUCUUGGAAGAACGAUGAACGAGGAACGAAGAACGAAGAAGGCUUUCUUGAUUCUUCGGGAACCUGGAUGCUUGAGAGCUUCAGAGUUUCAGAGCUUCAGAGCUUCAAGGUGUAAUAUGAAUUGGUUCCUUGAAAUGAAUGAAUUAGCCUUCUAUUUAUAGAAAUUUCCAAUGCCUAAUUUUGAAUACAAUAUCCCAGAUGAAAUAAGUCGUUUCUGCCAGGUGUUGACACGUGUCCUAUUUGAUGACUUUUCCAACUCAUUUCAAUUUUCGUUGAGUCACACGCUACGUGUAAAAUUUAUGUAAUACAUGAGCGUUGACACUUUGAUUUAUCGGUCAACAUUUAUUUACCGAAAUUUCGAUGUCUACAAAUAUCUUGAUUUAUUUUUGUGAACAUUUUAACUAAAAAAUAAUUAAAUUCCGAUAAACCUGCCGGUUGAAACAUGGAAGUAAUGGAACAAUAAUUACAUUUUUAUAAGGGAGCUUUAAUGAAAAUGAUUUGGGUCAACAAAUAUUUAAUCAAAAAUCAUCCCAAAAUGUUAUUUAACCAAAAGGGCUCAAAGUUUAAUAAAAAAAUCAUCUAAAACUAUUGUCCACGGGCCAAACUUAUAAUCUCAACCCGCUACAAAUCUACACUUCCAUAAAUACCCUAAAUGAUUUGAUGCAAGAGGAACUGCAGUUCUUCGAGACCACGAACCGCAAAGAGGUUGAAGAUAUGUUCAGAUCGAGCUUUAUGAUCAACUCUCGUGCCAAAAGGAGAUGCCCAUGUACAUAAAUCAAAGCUGCUUCAUGGAUUGGUGCCAAUUCAAUUCAACGGACUACUAUUAUUACACCUUUUUUCUUAUUUAUUUUUCACGAUUUUUGGUUUCUGGGUUUUAUAUAUGAGGGAUAUGUACGGUCCAAAAACGUGGCAAUCACGUCCGUAUAAUUUGUAUUGCAAGUUCAUGGAUAGAUUCAAGCCUGGUGGGCAAGAUUGAAUUUCCAGGUUAUAUAUAGGAGGAGUACUUGGAUGAGUUUUUCAGACAGUUGGAUGUGGAUAUAUAUUUGUAUUCCUUCAUCUAUGAGUGUGAAUUACUUCAAUCAUAUGAAUUACCUUUCCUCCACAACUAGCUAGCUAAUUGGUAUUCUUUGAAUUCUUAUUAUUUAUUGUCUUUGGAUGUUGAACAUAUCUUCAACCUCUUCGCGGUUCGUGGUCUCGAAGAACUGCAGUUUCCUCUUGCAUGAAGAACCCACCCUUCUGGCCCGCUUUCUCGGCGCAGGCGGACAUUUAAGAAUCGUGGGGAUUUUGUUCUCUUUCGAUGUUGGCGUGCGGCACUCGAAGACAACUCUUCACCAACCUCAACCCGUAAAUACCCCUAAAAGGAGUGUCAGUUCAAAUCAAAGUUGAAAAAUGAAGCAUUCAUCGGAACAAAGCCGCCAAACCAAGUUCAAAGAAGUUUAAAGGCAGAAACCGACGAAAAAGUGUUUGGAAAAAAAAAAAAAAAAGGAACCAAAACAUAAAACUGUUUCUGGAGAACCCAAAACAUAACAGUGUUUCUGAAAAAAAAAAUCAGAUACAGUGUUUGUUUUGUUUGUGCACAAACAAACAUUGUAUCUGGAAAAAAAAAACACCAAAAUUCAGAAACAGUGACUUAAAUUCCAGAAACAAUGACUUACACUACAGAAACAAUGACUUACAUUCCAGAAACAGUCUAUGUUUUUAACAUUUGAUUGUUUCUUUUCUUUCAUGCAUCAGCUAAUUAUAUUUAAGAAACAGAGUGUUUAUUUUGCUUUGAAUCCAGAUACAGUAAAUUUCACUAUUUCUUUUCCAAAAAACAGUGACUUACAUUCCAGAAAUAGUGACUUACAUGCCAUAAACAGUCUAUGUUUUUAAGCUUUGACUAUAUCUUUUCUUUCAUGUAUCAGCUGAUUAUAUUUAAGAAACAGAGUGCUUAUUUUGAUUUGAAUCCAGAUACAGUGAAUUUCACCAUUUCUUUUCUAGCUUACAUUUAAGAAACAAUGUGCAUAUUUUAUUUAAAUUCAGAAACAGUAAUUUAAAUUAAAAAAACUGUGACUUAGAUUCCAGAAACAGUGUUACUUAAAAUCCAGAGACAGUUUAUUUUUACAGUCCAGAAACAGUGACCCGUCAUUAUUAUUGAAUAGCAUGCAGUUCUCAAAUUUAUUUUCUGGAGAAACAAACGAUGAACUCCACUGACGAAGAAAAAUUGAAAAACAGUACCUCGAAUACACUAUAAAUAAUAACAACGAUCACAUUUCAACGAAAUAAUACAAAAUAUAAAUUAAAUAGCAUGAGAUCUAUAUUUUUGUUACAAAGAAAAAGAAGAAGGCUGCAAAACAACGAUGAAUUCCAUUAACGAUGAAAAUCUGGAACUCAACCUUAAAAAGUUAGUGGUAAAAUCGAUAAAUAAUAAUUUACUAUAGUUGGCCCAUUUUUAGUUGGACUGCUUUAAUAUGGGUCUUGUACUAAUCAUUAAAUAAAACUUAUAACAUGGUUUUUUAUUAAAACUAAAAAUUUUCAAGCCCUUUUCAUUAGUUUUCAUUUUUAUAAAGAUAAGGAUUAAAACUUUGAAACUUGAAAUAAUUCUAUAUAGUAUGCUUCAAUCUUACAACAAUUAAUAAUACAAACAUAAUUAAAACACUAAAUAAAGAUUAAUAAACGAUAAGUAAAAUACCACAUAAAAAUUACAACAAUUACUAAUACUAAUAAUAUUCAUCAACAUUUGGUUGACUUGGUCCUUGAAUUUGUGGUGGAUUUCGUGGUGGACUUGGGUAAUAGACAUUAUAUUGGUCAUCAUCCUCAAAGAUAUUCCUUACGGUAUUCCUUCUUAUAAUUUCCGAUUGCUUGUCGCGGAAUAAUUUCUUCCUAUUUGAAGUGUAUUUGUUGGGGCCGGUCCUCCCUCAUUACAUCAAAAUUGAAUGUCAUCUUGUAAGGGUCCUCCUUCUAAUAUGAUCUUUUGCCAUCUUGAAAAUUUUGGAAGUCAGUAGAAAAAAAUGGAAGAAUUGUUUGAGGAAAGUGAAUUUUUGGUGGAUGUUUGAACAAAUACAUGUAUUUAUAGAGUUUUUCGGUGAAUUUUGAUUUAAAUAAUUUCUUUUAAAUGUUUUAGCCGUUAAAUUUAAUUUUGGGCCAUAAGACCUUUUUUUUACAGUUAAUUUAAUAUAAGAAUUCAGUCGUUCGAUUUAAUUUAAUUAUAAAUUUGUUUUCAAAAAAUUUGUAUAUAGACCGUUGAAUCAACCAAUUACCCAUCAUUUCCAAUCAUUGGAUCACAAAAAGAGUAGUUAUGCUAGUGGGUAGUCGUUGGGACCCAGGAGUUGAUGACUUGUAGCAUGAGAUGCUUCUAAUGCGUUGCUUAGCUACAGCUGGGCUUUUUCUAGGCGCUUUCACGCGUUGGAGCUCGGGCCACCACUAUCCUUGGCUCAUUUUUUUUUUUGGGAGGGGAGGUGAGAAUUUGGCCCAAAGCAAGUUUUAACAUUUUGAAACUCAAAAUUUGAGUUUUAAACCAAUCAUUGUACAUGGUCCUUGGAGUUCCACAAAUGCAAUUUGGCAACUUGGAUGACUUUGGAGUCUUUUAUAAAUGCAAUUUGGUAACUUGGACGACUAUGGAGUCUUUUAUAUAAAUGCAAUUUGGCAUUUUGGCCAAAAUGCAAUUUGGCAUUUUGGCCAAAAUCCAAGUCGAUUUUAGAGUAGCAAGUGGUCUUCUAUCGCAAUGGUGGAGAUGAGUGUUGCUCUUGUACCAUAACAUGGGUUCGAAUCUCAUCGGCUCUCUAAUCAAACAAAUCUAUCAUUUGAGGAAGAAAAAAAAGGUUCCAUGUUAGAGUCUUCCAUCAAUGCAGUUUGGCAAUUUGGCAACUUGGCCAAAGUCCAAGUCAAGGGCCAUAAAUGCAAUUUGGCAAUUUAUUUCAAAUUUUUUCUUCAAAGAAUAAGAGCUUGAUGAUGCUUAAUUGAUACUUCCAGUUUUAUUUUUAGUAUUCUCGUUUAUUUAAUAUGACUAUGACAAAAUAUUUUGUUUUCCACAAGAAAAUGACAUCUUCAUGACUCAGUGUCUCUCAGACCACAAAAAAGUUUUUCCAAUUAAUAAUUUUUCCUCUUGAUGGAGUCUUCCAUAAAUUUACUCAUUCCAAGUCAAAAGUCUUUAAGGGUGCGUUUGUUGCACCGGAUUAUCUCGGACUAGACUAGCUUCAGGGACUAAGCUGGACUGGCUUAAACUAGACUAAGCUGAACUGACUUAGUGAAGUGUUUGGUGCAGUAUUGGACUAAAAAAAAGGAUAAUAACAAACUACAAUAUUAUAUUUUUUAAACCAUAUCUAAUAAUAUUAUAUUAAUUAAUUCUAUCUUUUUUUAUUCUAAUAAAACUCUCCCUCUCUCUGGAAGCCUCCAGCCUGGAGCGAAGCGAAGCAACACGAGGUGAAGUGAAGAACAAAAACGGGACUACAAAUCCCAUCGUUUUUGGUGGCUCUUGCUAAGCCCACCUAGCGAAGGAUUUAGUCUGCACGAGUCCGGCUUAAUCCCAUUAAACACAAUCCCAAUUUACACCAAACACAGGACUACUGAUUUUAGCUAAGUAGUCCAAUCCAGUGAAACUUAAGUCGGCCAAACAAACGCGCCCUAAUUGUCGCCAACUAGUACAGUGCACCACUUUGUUUUAUGGAGCCCACCCCACGCCUUCUGGAUUUGAAUCCCAUCUGGAUCCAAAUUGUGCGGAUUCUAGUGAUCCUUACAUCUUAGUCAUUCAUUGUGCAUCGUGCGAUCAGAAAUCAUUUGACUUUUUUUUAUUUAAAAUUAACACAAAUAGUACUUGACGAAAAUUGAUGGCACGAUGUAUGAUGAACGGCUAGAAUGUGGGGAUCUCUAAGAUCCCCACAAAGUGAACUCGGAGAGGAUCCUCUUCCACUCAUUCUAACGGUUGUCCCAAAUGUGUGUAAUUGUCAAUCUUUCUUCUUCUCAAAUAUCACUAUCUCAACCCCUCUUCUUCAUUUCUCAUUUAUUUUUAUGUUCAAAUUUAUCAAAUAAUCUAAAUAAACAGUUGUAAGUUGUAAUGCUGGUGAACUUUACGUUUUAUCACUUUGGGGCAAUCAUCUAAAGAUAAUUAAGAAUUUGUUGUAAGUUGUAAUACUGUGUGGUGAUGUUUAUCUUUUUAUUUAUAAAUAAAAGGUAUUAUGUUCAACUUCUAUGGCCAGUUUGGGGUUGCUUAAAUUUUUUUUUUUUUUUAAACAGCUUCUUAAAAAAGUUGAGUCCUUAAUUGUGUUUGGUAAAUAAAAAAUGUUUGUUCUUGUAAUAAAAACCCUAGUAUAGAUAUAUCGUUGUAUCAAAAUAAGAGAAUAACGUUAUCAAGCAAAGUCACCAAUGUAGCAAGUGGUCUUCUAUCGCAAUGGUGGAGAUGAGUGUUACUCUUGUACCACAGCAUAGGUUCGAAUCUCGUUGGCUCCCUAAUCAAACAAAUCUAUCGUUUGAGGAAGAAAAAAAAAAGGUUCGAUGUUAGAGUCUGCCAUCAAUGCAGUUUGGCAAUUUGGCAACUUGGCCAAAGUCCAAGUCAAGGGCCAUAAAUGCAAUUUGGCAAUUUAUUUCAAAUUUUUUCUUCAAAGAAUAAGAGCUUGAUGAUGCUUAAUUGAUACUUCCAGUUUUAUUUUUAGUAUUCUCGUUUAUUUAAUAUGACUAUGACAAAAUAUUUUGUUUUCCACAAGAAAAUGACAUCUUCAUGACUCAGUGUCUCUCAGACCACAAAAAAGUUUUUCCAAUUAAUAAUUUUUCCUCUUGAUGGAGUCUUCCAUAAAUUUACUCAUUCCAAGUCAAAAGUCUUUAAGGGUGCGUUUGUUGCACCGGAUUAUCUCGGACUAGACUAGCUUCAGGGACUAAGCUAGACUGGCUUAAACUAGACUAAGCUGGACUGACUUAGUGAAGCGUUUGGUGCAGUAUUGGACUAAAAAAAAGAAGGAUAAUAACAAACUACAAUAUUAUAUUUUUUAAAUCAUAUCUAAUAAUAUUAUAUUAAUUAAUUCUAUCUUUUUUUAUUCUAAUAAAACUCUCCCUCUCUCUGGAAGCCUCCAGCCUGGAGCGAAGCGAAGCAACACGAGGUGAAGCGAAGAACAGAAACGGGACUACAAAUCCCAUCGUUUUUUGUGGCUCUUGCUAAGCCCACCUAGCGAAGGAUUUAGUCUGCAUGAGUCCGGCUUAAUCCCAUUAAACACAAUCCCAAUUUACACCAAACACAGGACCACUGAUUUUAGCUAAGUAGUCCAAUCCAGUGAAACUUAAGUCGGCCAAACAAACGCGCCCUAAUUGUCGCCAACUAGUACAGUGCACCACUUUGUUUUAUGGAGCCCACCCCACGCCUUCUGGAUUUGAAUCCCAUCCGGAUCCAAAUUGUGCGGAUUCUAGUGAUCCUUACAUCUUAGUCAUUCAUCGUGCAUCGUGCGAUCAGAAAUCAUUUGACUUUUUUUUAUUUAAAAUUAAACACAAAUAGUACUUGAUGAAAAUUGAUAGCACGAUGUAUGAUGAACGGCUAGAAUGCGGGGAUCUCUAAGAUCCCCACAAAGUGAACUCGGAGAGGAUCAUCUUCCACUCAUUCUAACGGUUGUCCCAAAUGUGUGUAAUUGUCAAUCUUUCUUCUUCUCAAAUAUCACUAUCUCAACCCCUCUUCUUCAUUUCUCAUUUAUUUUUAUGUUCAAAUUUAUCAAAUAAUCUAAAUAAUCAGUUGUAAGUUGUAAUGCUGGUGAACUUUACGUUUUAUCACUUUGGGGCAAUCAUCUAAAGAUUAUUAAGAAUUUGUUGUAAGUUGUAACACAUACUGUGUGGUGAUGUUUAUCUCUUUAUUUAUAAAUAAAAGGUAUUAUGUUCAACUUCUAUGGCCAGUUUGGGGUUGCUUAAAUUUUUUAUUUUAUUUUUAAACAGCUUCUUAAAAAAGUUGAGUCCUUAAUUGUGUUGGGUAAAUAAAAAAUGUUUGCUCUUGUAAUAAAAACCCUGGUAUAGAUAUAUCGUUGUAUCAAAAUAAGAGAAUAACGUUAUCAAGCAAAGUCACCAAUGUGCAAAUUUUAUCGUGAAGGUGCUGAAAUUAAGUUACCUAAAUUAGGAGAAGUUCUUCUAUCCGAAAUUGGACUAGAGCCAAAAAGAGAAAGGAUAUGACUAGAGAGUUGGGUAGGUGUAGAUCUGGGAAUCAAGGGUGCGGGGUAGGUGUGAAUUUUUGUGUCUUGAUGAUAUAAUUUCUCCUAAAUUAGAGCCGUUGAGGAUCUCAUUCACAGGCUUCAAGGAAUACUCUAAAAUCAUCUAACAAACUAUAAUCAAUUAUAAACCAACACAUGUAAGAGAAGCAUAUGUUAUAACUUAGGGACUCACUAGAAAUUAGUGCCCACGCGUUGCUGCGAGAUUGAAAAUUAAAUGAAAGAUUAUGUUUGAAAGAUAUAAAAGUUAAACAACAACAACGAAACCAUAUGCCAAUCCUACCUAGGGCUGGAAAAAAAUCCCAAAAAUCCACCAAACCAAAAAAAUCCCGAUCCCAAACCAAAAUUCCCGAAAGUUUCGGGAUGUAAUCCCAAACCAAACCGAAAUUUUUGGUAUGGGAUUCGGUAUUGCAUUUCAUUUUUUCGGUAUUCCCAUACCGAACCGAAAAAAAAUAUAUAUAUAUAUAUAUAUAUAAUUUUUUAAUUAUAAGAGAAUUAUUUCAACCGUUGAUUGUUUUGGAUUUAAUCUGUGCCGUCGGUUUGUUUUUAGGUCAGAUGAUAACAUUUCACUUUUGUAUUCCUCCGUUCAUUUGUUUCGAAGCGCAGCCGUGAGCCUCCGACCCUCACCAACAUCGUCUCUCACCAUACUGUCGAAUUCCGACCAGCCACCGACCCACCACCACACCAUACUCUCGUCUCUGACUCUCCAGCCUUCCUUCACCACACAACCACCGCUCUAUCUCUCUCUCUAGGGCGAUUGUCUUUCACGGACAGGACAGGUCACAGAACUAGGGAUCUCUCUCGAGUAUACUUCUGCAGUUGGAUCUCUCUCAAGUUUUGCUGCAGGCAAAGCUGUGCGUGGAUGAAAACAUCCCUGUUAUUCCUAUACCUGGGCCGUCUGCUUUUGUGGCUGCUCUCUCUGCAUCUGGCCUCUCCACGGAUGAGUUUACGUUUGGUAAGUUUUCCAUGGAAAUGAUGCUGCAGAUAUUCUUCUUGGUGGAUGUGGCUUGAGGGAUAAGAUGUAUAUAGAACUCUGAAACUGAGUAUACUUCUGCAGUUGGAUUUCUCUCUAAACAUGUUGGAUCUAAAAGAGAGAGGUUGACGGUUUCAGCAAAUGAGGGGACGACCCAAAUAUUCUAUGUGCCUCCCCACAAACUUCAGCAGUUUCUUGAAGAGACUUCUUCAGUUUUUGGUGUUUCAAGGUAAAUACUUUUAAGGCUUCAGAUUAAAAAUCAAUUUUAAUAAAGGUAUUAAGAAAAAAUACCAACUUCAAUAAAAGCUACCAAUCCCUUCCCAUUCUAUUUGGAUUAAGCAACAAAUUGUGGGAAAAUACUCUAUAAGCUUAGGAACAUUUAUAUUUUUCUCCCCAUUGCGCACGACCCACAUGCCACCAGUGCCAGUGCCAGAAGUUGUCGCCAGCCACCGUCAUUGUGGCUGAAGAUUUUUAGUUAUGUGCAACUUUUUCAAUUUCAAUUAUGUAUUGAUGUUUGAGUUUAUUGUUUGUUUUUUUACAUGUAUCACAUACUUUCAUCCCUCACUAACUACUCAUUGAUAUGAUUAUAUAUUAGUUUUUGUUAUGGUGAGUUACAAAUUAAACUUCCAUGUAUGGAUUUAUGCGCUUUUACUGACUUAGUGGUUUUACAAAAACUGAUUUGGUGAGUUUGUAAUUGUGUUUCAGAAAAUUGUCCCGAAAUCACGAUUUGGUGAGUUUGUAAUUUUUGGGAUUCCCGAUUUGUCCCGAAAUCCCGAAACUAUUUCGGGAUUCCCAAAAAUUUGGUUUGGGAUCGGUAUUGAAAUUGGGAUUCCCGAAAAUUUCGGUAUGAGAAUCGGGACAAGAGUUUCGGUAUGGGAUCCCAUACCGAACCACCCCUAAUCCUACCUGAAGAAGCUUAUUAUAAUUCUAAGUGGAACAGGGGUGAGUAAUUCUAAGUGAAAGGCCCACACAGAUAAAUUAUACAUUCUGAAUUUCUUGAUUACAAAAUGCACUCCUCACAAUGAAGUCUUCCACUGGACCAAUACUUUCAUUGGGCUCAGAUACCUGUAAUCCAGCCUAAUUCGAUAAACCCAGCAGUGGCAGUCUUGUAAAUAAAACGAAAAGACCAAUGGCACAUAUGUAAUUGGCCGAAAUCGAUUCCAAAUGCAACAUGAAUAGUGCAAUUUCUUUUCCAGACUUUAGUAAUAUGCCAGAAUAUUCUCAUCACACACCAUUCCAAUUAUUAGUACCCCACCCUCCCUUUCCUUCCUCAUUGAUUUUCCACGUGACAAAAUUUGGAUACGUUCAAUAUUGAAACAUUUGAAUGCGGAGGGAGUUAGAUGCCACAUGGAUGCAUGUAGUUGGUGUGCAACAAACAAUGCAUAAACAAGCACGCGUUCUAUAAAAAAAUUCCCACGAGAAAGGGAGGUGGUGUGGAAUUGGUAGUAUUGGAGGUAGGUAGUAUAAAUUUGGUGACUUUGAAGUAGAGCUGGGCACAAGACGGGCAGGGUCCAAAUUUGAACGGACUGGAUCGGAUUCGGGUUUAAAAGAAAAGGAUCGAGCUGAGGCGGGUACAUCAAAUUUUAAUACAGGAACCGGACCUGUCAGACCGGGUCCACGGGUCCUUUUUUUUUGGGGGGGGGGAAAUUGAAUUUUUAGAGAAGGCAGCACAGAUUCACAACAGCAGCUGCACAAAUUGAACACGGGUCCAAUUAUCACUGUAAGUCAAAACACAGGUGUUCGCAAGACUCGCAACCUUCUCUCAGUUCUCUUUAAGGUGAAUACAUGUUUCAUAACCUGCCAAAUUGCAUGAAACGCUCCAUUGAUCUAAAUUGCAUGAAACAUUCAAAUCUAGUUUACAUAAUAUAAUUAAAAAUAUUCAACAGAAUAUUCAAAUUCAAUCAAACAAAAGAUUUGAAAUUGGAACAGAAUAAAAGUCAAGAUUCAAGAACCUAACAAAAUCCCUAGGAAAUCAUAAUUUAAUUUUCAAUCCUAAAUCCCUAAAACAUAAUACCUUGAAACUGAAAAAGACUGUGAGCAGAGCUCGGCUUCCAUGCAAAUCUAAGUCAGAUAGAGGAGAUGACUGAAUCGUCAUUUUAAGUUGUUCGACUUCAUUGUUCGUCCCCUUGAGUUCGACAGAGAGAGACUGACUUUGUCAUUCGUCCCUUCGAGUUCGACAGAGAUAGAUUGAGAAUCGAGAGGGAUACGAGUUAGUCUGGACUCUGGGAGAAAGAGAUCGAGAGGGAAGACUGAGUUUCAAUUCGAGUCAAAUGAGAGUCUUUGAGAAAGUGAUGUUAUGUGUGUGUGUGUGAUUUGAGUGGUGUGUGUGAGAUUUGAGUGUGUGUAUGUGAGACGACACUUUAUUGGAUACAGUUCGGGCCGGGGUGUCACAACUCGGCCCGGGGUCCACCACAUCCCGGGCCCGCUCCACCACCGUAGCACGAUAUUGUCUGCUUUGGGCCCCGACUACGUCCUCACGGUUUUAUUUAUGGGAACUCACACGAGAACUUCGGAGUUCCGAUGGAACUCGAAGCCAAUGAACUCCCAAAAAGCUUCAUGCUAGGUAGGGAUGAGAAUAUACAUAUAAGGAUCACUCCCCUGAACGAUGUGGGAUCUUACACGGGGGUCGUGUCUUCAUAAUAUUUGACCCGCCUCGCCCCUCUGUUUACUUAGACCCGCCCCGCCCCGUUUUGUAUAUAAAAUAAUAUGGACCUGCCCCGUACCCGCCCCCUUUUAGAAAAAAGACUUAAUAUAAAUUUGGUGAUUUUGAAGAGUUGCUUUGUAUGGUGUAUUCUUAUUAAUUAAAACUUUUUAGCAAAAACUUAAAUAGGAGGCCAUAUUAUGCCCCUUCUACCUGUAAAUAACUCUUUUAUCUAAAUUAUUAUCCAAAUCUUCUUAUCCAAGUAAAAAAUAAAGGAACAAACACACAUACAUUAACACAAGGAUUUAGCAGUUACCCAUUACUUAUCUUCUCAUUACCCAUGUAAUCAACUUCUAUCAUCCACAUUAACAUUUUGUACUAAAAAAAAAAGAAAUUAAACUUGUACUAUUAUUAGAGAAAAAAAUAAGAGCAAAAGAAUUGAAGUCAAAUUAACAUUUUUAUUUCAUGCUUGCGUGUUUUUUUGUGUGCCCGUUGUCUCUCUCUACAAUUUGUCCAUGAAGAUUUAUUGUUGUUUUCAUUAGUUUGUCACAAGCAACUAUAGUAAAAAGGGGACAAAAGCAAGUGCGAUAAGAUAUGCUAAAUGGCAAAGCAAUGUAGAAGGACAUAGGCAGAGGUGCGCGUGGCCGAGGGGUUCCCAAGUCAGGGAAGCUCAAACAAACUCAGGGAUUGUUUUAUUCGCACCCUACAUAUUGUUGACUAUACCUACUUAUUUAAUACACUCCACUUUUGUUUUUUAAGGGAAAGUAAGUUAUUCAUUGCAUUGAAAUAGAACACAUACAAACUGAGAAUAGUGUGCAUAAUGAGCCUCAAUAAAACCUUACGGGGGCUUUCAACCUGGUCGAAGGGAAAAGAGCGUCCCGCAUAACAGAAAGAACUAUCCUCAAAUGACAAUACAUAACAAAACAUAACAAUUUACAAGCUUUCUUCGAAUAAAAUAUCCCUAAGCAAAUCAGGGGGUCUUCAAACCACAAGAGCUGUUGAUUAUUUCCAACUCCCACUCGAGCAAGCCUGUGCGCAACCGAGUUACCUCCCCGUUGCACAUAGUUUACCAACGACUGAGGAAAAGACUGGAGCAAAAAAUGCAGAUCAUUAAUGAUAGGCCCCAAAAAUGAACAAUCCUCCUCCUGACCCUUCAUGGCAGCCAAAACCAAGCUAGAGUCACCUUCAAAAAUCAUCAUUUUACCAACAUGGCAAAACGUUUGGGCCAGCAACACAGCCUGACGAGCAGCAAAAAGUUCUGCAUGGAACGCAGAACAUGUCCAACCAAUCGAACCCGCAGUUGCAGCAAUGAAAACUCCCCUAUGAUCUCGCAUAACAGCACCAAAGCCUCCCCCUCGAACCUUGCAGGAUCCACCAUUAAAAUAAAUUAAAAAUAAAUUUGACAUUGUCAAAUUUGACUUCAAACCACAAAGCUUUUAAAUCUAGUCAGCAAAUAACACUUUGAUUUGAGAGACUUUUAACGUCAAAUAUGCACAGAGACACUCCAACUAAGAUUUUGACACCUCAUUUGAAGAUGCUAUUCAAUUCCUCAUUAGCUUUAGAAAAAAGAACAAGCCUUUCGUGAAAAAGGUUUUUCCAGAAGAUGAACAACUUGACAAGAUGACACAGCACAACUCCUCGAAAUGGCAUAUAACAUUGAUACGAAUAUUGGUUUCAUAUUUGUGAUUUCAGGCAAGUGUGAUUGAUUCAAUCACGAUGGUUAGCAUUCGACUGCUAUAUACAGAAAACCUAUGUUUGAACAGUGUCUUCUGCCAGCUGCGAUUUGUUUGUACAUCGAACUAACCACACGGUAACCGAUGUGAACUCAGGAACUUAAAAUAAUAAAAUGGAGAAAGUGAAAGGCUCCAUUUUGAGAUGCUAGUAAGAUAACAUGAUGUGGAACAAAUGGCCGAAUGGAUUGAAGAGGAAAUGGACCAUUGGUAGGCAAAAGGUCGCAGUGAGAAUUUGCGAAUUUGUUGUCUGAACUCCGAUUUGCGUUUAUGAUACUUUUUUGCAAAGGGAACGACUUCAUAGUUCAAAUUCACCGUUUAAUUACGAUGGAUUUUAGUCAUCCGAAGACGUUUCCACCCAAAAUGCAAUUUCAAUUUCCGUAUUAAAAAAAGGGAACAUUUGAGUUGCUAGCGUUCCUUUGUAUGGUACUAAGAAGCUCCCCUUUCUCAAACGGGAUCAAGGCUUCAACCCAUACCAUAGAGUCCUGUUAAGCAACAGAUUGCUUUCACUUUAUAUAGGUACAGACUCCACUCUUGAGUAUCAAAAGUAAACAGUGAAACAAACACUCGUACCUUCAAUUUAUCCUGAACUGCAGAAUUCAGUUAUACCCUCACCACUCAGAGCAGAUAUGCAAAUCACAUCAUCUCUCUUUUCUGCUUCCAACUUCAUCCUUUCAGGACCGCUAAACUUAUCAACCUGCAAAAAAAGAAGCCGUGUCUCAUCAAUCUUGUGUAUACGCUUCACAAAUGAAAUGCAGUACAUGAUCAUCGGUAUUUAUAAAAGAAGACCCAUGCACACUCCAUGCAAAUAAAAGAACAACCAACACCACACAAUUCACUGAUAUGGUGAUUAAACUAUAAUCACUUACAAAAAAAAAAUUGAACAUUUAUGGGACUUCUCUCUCCGGAGAGGUCCCAAAUUUGAGUACCCUAUUCCUAUUGACUAAAAUAAGUACUAGCAAACUUAUUCGGUUCUUUAAUUAUCAUCACAUCAAAUGCCUAGAAAAAUUUUGCCCACCUCAAUCAACACGAGUCAACAAAUUUCAAGAAUUUGUAUAAUGUGUUCGUCCCUUAUAAAAACAUAACAACAUAAGAAAAACUAAUGAAAAUUGUUUGAAAAAUUUAAGUUUUAACGAUAAAGACAAAAUAAAAAGUAAAAUAAAAUAGUACUGUGAUUGACUUUUUAGUAUAAAAAUGUGAUUUUUCGUUGAAAUAAACCGUACCGGGAGCUUUUAGUUAAAGAUUUCAAAAUCAUAUCACUUGAGGUGAUUAACUAUAUGAACAUAAUCAAUUUCUAGAAAAUUAAAAUUACAUAAUUAACCAAAACCAUACUUAGGAAUCUAAGCAAAGAAUCAAAAGAAAUAUGAGGGAAUGGGGAACUUACAGCGAUGAUGAAGACAACGAAAGAGGAUUUCGAUCUCGGCGAAUCGAACGAACCGAAAGACCGACUUGACACCCUGAGUCAAUGCGGAUGCAUUUGAAACUCGCUUCGCCACGGCUGCGCGGUUGGGCUGGGCUUGGGAAUCGGGAUUUAAUAUCAUCGGCAUUAGAUCGGCGAUCAUCCGAUGGGCGAUGGUGGUCAGGUGGUGGUGUGAUUGGUGUCACGGUUGGGUGGAGCCGCGGAGAGCUGGAGGCGGAGGUGGAGGCAGGCAGGUCUGUGUGCACCGUUGGAUCUCGGUGUGGGUGGACAGUACAGCCUUAGCCUGUAGUCUGGUCGCGAAGAACUUAUGAAGACGAAGAGAAAGGCUUGGAACCUCGAAGACGGAGAGACCGAAGCGUCGAUGGUGAAGACGCAGGACGGCGGACAGGAGCCUUGUUAGCAUUGGGCCAGGGCCGGGCCUGCUAGGGAGAAAGGAGAAAUUCAAGAGAAGUCGGACCCGAGAUCAAUCUGCUAGUCUCAAUUUGCAAGAUCAGCCUUAGAUUCAAUUGGCGAGAUCAUCAUUACAUCAUUUCUCAAGCUCUCCAAUCAAUUUUACGGUGUAAUAUUCAACGGGCGACGCACGUUCAUUUGCUUACGUUCCAACGGGCGACGCACGUUCAUUUGCUUACGUUCCAAAAUUUGAUUGCUUUUGGUCUACUUCUUGGUUGCUUUUGUCUAUGACUUUACGCCUGUCGUAUACAUAAAUAGAAAUAGUAAUAUAAGUGUGGCCAUUGCAUUCUCAUCUUAGCCAGUCAUUGUCCUUAUGCAUGAAAACCAAUUCUUUGUUUUAUUAACUUCUAUUUCUUCCUCACAAGCGUAAACACAAUUUCAACUGAAAAACAUUAAGCGUUCUGCAUAAAGUGAAUAGAGCCCCAGCAAACUAGUGCAUAAAAAUAAAUUACAAUACAGGAAACAUCUACAAAGAAUCUUUCUUCUAAAAGGAAGACUCGAAAUUUAUUUAUCGGAA
rnacentral:lncRNA from 1 species